UGCCAGCAGCCGCGGUAAUACGGAGGGUGCAAGCGUUGUUCGGAAUUAUUGGGCGUAAAGCGCGUGUAGGCGGUUCGUUAAGUCUGAUGUGAAAGCCCGGGGCUCAACCCCGGAAGUGCAUUGGAAACUGGCGAACUUGAGUACUGGAGAGGAAAGUGGAAUUCCGAGUGUAGGGGUGAAAUCCGUAGAUAUUCGGAGGAACACCAGUGGCGAAGGCGGCUCACUGGCGCGAUACUGACGCUGAGUUGCGAAAGUUUGGGGAGCAAACAUGAUUAGAUA
rnacentral:rRNA from 1 species